CUACGGAGGAUCCAAGCGUUAUCCGGAUUUAUUGGGUUUAAAGGGUGCGUAGGCGGACUGGUAAGUCAGCUGUGAAAGUUUGCGGCUUAACCGUAAAAUUGCAGUUGAUACUGUCAGUCUUGAGUGUGCAUGAGGUGGGCGGAAUUUGUGGUGUAGCGGUGAAAUGCUUAGAUAUCACGAGGAACUCCAAUUGCGAAGGCAGCUCACUGGGGCAUAACUGACGCUGAUGCACGAAGGUGUGGGUAUCAAACAGGAUUAGAUACCCUGGUAGUCCACACAGUAAACUAUGAAUACUCGCUGUUUGCGAUAUACAGUAAGCGGCCAAGCGAAAGCAUUAAGUAUUCCACCUGGGGAGUACGCCGGCAACAGCGAAACUCAAAGGAAUUGACGGGG
rnacentral:rRNA from 1 species